rnacentral:rRNA from 1 species
CCUACGGGUGGCAGCAGUCGAGAAUCAUUCACAAUGGGGGAAACCCUGAUGGUGCGACGCCGCGUGGGGGAAUGAAGGUCUUCGGAUUGUAAACCCCUGUCAUGUGGGAGCAAAUUAAAAAGAUAGUACCACAAGAGGAAGAGACUGCUAACUCUGUGCCAGCAGCCGCGGUAAUACAGCGGUCUCAAGCGUUGUUCGGAAUCACUGGGCGUAAAGGGUGCGUAGGCUGUUUCGUAAGUCGUGUGUGAAAGGCGCGGGCUCAACCCGCGAACGGCACAUGAUACUGCGAGACUAGAGUAAUGGAGGGGGAACCGGAAUUCUCGGUGUAGCAGUGAAAGGCGUAGAUAUCGAGAGGAACACUCGUGGCGAAGGCGGGUUCCUGGACAUUAACUGACGCUGAGGCACGAAGGCCAGGGGAGCGAAAGGGAUUAGAUACCCGGGUAGUC